rnacentral:rRNA from 1 species
GACGAACGCUGGCGGCGUGCUUAACACAUGCAAGUCGAACGGUAAGGCCCUUCGGGGUACACGAGUGGCGAACGGGUGAGUAACACGUGGGUGAUCUGCCCUGCACUUCGGGAUAAGCCUGGGAAACUGGGUCUAAUACCGGAUAGGACCACUGCCUGCAUGGGUGGUGGUGGAAAGCUUUUGCGGUGUGGGAUGGGCCCGCGGCCUAUCAGCGUGUCGGUGGGGUGAGGGCCUACCAAGGCGACGACGGGUAGCCGGCCUGAGAGGGUGACCGGCCACACUGGGACUGAGAUACGGCCCAGACUCCUACGGGAGGCAGCAGAGGGGAAUAUUGCACAAUGGGCGCAAGCCUGAUGCAGCGACGCCGCGUGAGGGAUGACGGCCUUCGGGUUGUAAACCUCUUUCAGCACCGACGAAGCGCAAGUGACGGUAGGUGCAGAAGAAGGACCGGCCAACUACGUGCCAGCAGCCGCCGUAA